AUCUAGUCUGCCCAAUUUUCUAAAUACUUUCAUUAGUCCCUAGCCUUAUCUUAUAGUUAGGAUAGCCUUAUGCCUAUCCCACACAUGCUUAAACUCCUUUACUGUGUUAACCUCUACCACUUCAGCUGGAAGGCUAUUUCAUGCAUCCACUACCCUCUCAGUAAAGUAAUACUUCCUGAUAUUAUUUUUAAACCUUUGUCCCUCU